rnacentral:rRNA from 1 species
AGAGAGAGACAUGCGCGCAUAUCAAUAAGCGGAGGAAAAGAAACUAACUAGGAUUCCCUCAGUAACGGCGAGUGAAGCGGGAAGAGCUCAAAUUUGAAAUCUUCAAGGUUCUACCUUGACGAAUUGUAGUUUAAAGAAGUGUUUUCUGUUGGAGUUUUGGUAAAAGUUCUUUGGAAUAGGACAUCAUAGAGGGUGAGAAUCCCGUAUUUGACCAUUAUUUCCAGCUUUGUGAUACACUUUCAAAGAGUCGGAUUGUUUGGGAAUGCAGUCCAAAAUGGGUGGUAAAUUUCAUCUAAAGCUAAAUAUUGGCGAGAGACCGAUAGCGAACAAGUACCGUGAGGGAAAGAUGAAAAGAACUUUGAAAAGAGAGUUAAACAGUACGUGAAAUUGUCAAAAGGGAAGCGUUUGACACCAGUGUUGUUUUUCUGAAAAUCAAUUAAAGAACUGUUUAUGCUAAGUUGUUUAGACUUUAUCAGCUAACUGUUUAGUUUUGAGCUUUUCUUUAAUGCACUUUUCAGUUAACAAGUCAACAUCAAUUUCUUUUGCUGUAAAAAAGCUUGAGGAAGGUGGCUUGAGAUUCGUCUUAAGUGUUUAUAGCCUCUUGCCUAUGCAGUCGGAGAGAUUGAGGUCUGCAGCGUAGAUCCUUCGGGGUUAGAUACAUUUGUGCUAAGUUAUAGCCUUUCAUAGACAACUUGUUGACUAUGAUCAGUCAUGUAGCUUACUCGCUUAUGCUAUUUUACCUACGCUUAGGAUGUUGAUGUGAUACUGCGAGCA